UACGUAGGGUCCGAGCGUUGUCCGGAAUUACUGGGCGUAAAGAGCUCGUAGGUGGUUUGGCGCGUUGUUCGUGAAAACUCACAGCUUAACUGUGGGCGUGCGGGCGAUACGGGCAGACUGGAGUACUGCAGGGGAGACUGGAAUUCCUGGUGUAGCGGUGGAAUGCGCAGAUAUCAGGAGGAACACCGGUGGCGAAGGCGGGUCUCUGGGCAGUAACUGACGCUGAGGAGCGAAAGCGUGGGGAGCGAACAGG
rnacentral:rRNA from 1 species